AUUUCCCUUGUGGAAAACAUCAUCGAUUCUCUUGCGCUCGCUUCCUCUUCAAAGAAAAAACUACAAAUGGCUACUUUGGCGGCAGUUGCAGCUCGUAGAGCAGCCGCUCUAGCUCGGAAACCGGCUCCGCCUCGAGCCGCUUCUCUCAUCCCUCGCCGUGGUCUUACCGGCGCAGCAGAUCACCAUGGACCUUUGAAGGUUAAUUUUUAGCAAGAUCCAAUGAAUCCAGCUAAAUGGAAAGAACAUUUCGUUAUAGUCUCUUUAACUGGAUGGGGUCUUCUUUUCUUUAGUGGAUACAAGUUCUUCACUAAAGGCGAGAAGGAAGAGAAUGCUGUGGAAACGACACACUAAAGAGGUUGGGGCUUUUAUUUUAUUUUUAUAUUUUUUACGAUAUUUCGAGUUAUAAUGUGCGUCCGGAACGUUCAUGCCCUUGGAUGUUUUUGCUUCAUUUUGUUGGCAAAUUCUUCGGUUUUCCUGUUCACCGUUUCGUUUAUGACGAUGGAGUAAACUUGGAGAUCAGUUCUACC